rnacentral:rRNA from 1 species
GAUGAACGCUAGCGGCAGGCCUAACACAUGCAAGUCGAGGGGGAAGUUACUUUCGGGUGACUGAGACCGGCGUACGGGUGCGUAACGCGUAUACAAUCUGCCUUUCACUGGGGGAUAGCCCGAAGAAAUUUGGAUUAAUACCCCAUAGUAUAUAGGGACGGCAUCGUUUUUAUAUUAAAGCUUAGGUGGUGAAAGAUGAGUAUGCGUUCUAUUAGCUAGUUGGAGAGGUAACGGCUCCCCAAGGCGAUGAUAGAUAGGGGUUCUGAGAGGGAUGUCCCCCAAACUGGGACUGAGAUACGGACCAGACUCCUACGGGAGGCAGCAGUGAGGAAUAUUGGACAAUGGUCGGAAGACUGAUCCAGCCAUGCCGCGUGCAGGAUGAAGGUCUUAUGGAUUGUAAACUGCUUUUGUAAGGGAAGAAUAAGGGCUACGCGUAGUUUGAUGACGGUACCUUACGAAUAAGCAUCGGCUAACUCCGUG